AGCGGGUGGGGGCGCUGGUGUGCCCGGCGGUUUCAUAAGCCGCGCAGAGGCGGGUUCGAUCCCCGCACCCGCUA
rnacentral:tRNA from 1 species